GACGAACGCUGGCGGCGUGCUUAACACAUGCAAGUCGAACGGAAAGGCCCUGCUUUUGUGGGGUGCUCGAGUGGCGAACGGGUGAGUAACACGUGAGUAACCUGCCCUUGACUUUGGGAUAACUUCAGGAAACUGGGGCUAAUACCGGAUAGGAGCUCCUGCUGCAUGGUGGGGGUUGGAACGUUUCGGCGGUUGGGGAUGGACUCGCGGCUUAUCAGCUUGUUGGUGGGGUAGUGGCUUACCAAGGCUUUGACGGGUAGCCGGCCUGAGAGGGUGACCGGCCACAUUGGGACUGAGAUACGGCCCAGACUCCUACGGGAGGCAGCAGUGGGGAAUAGUGCACAAUGGGCGGAAGCCUGAUGCAGCAACGCCGCGUGCGGGAUGACGGCCUUCGGGUUGUAAACCGCUUUCGCCUGUGACGAAGCGUGAGUGACGGUAAUGGGUAAAGAAGCACCGGCUAACUACGUG
rnacentral:rRNA from 1 species